UACGAAGGGGGCUAGCGUUGUUCGGAAUCACUGGGCGUAAAGGGCGCGUAGGCGGCCUGAUCAGUCGGGGGUGAAAGCCUGUGGCUCAACCACAGAAUGGCCUUCGAUACUGUCGGGCUCGAGACCGGAAGAGGUCAGCGGAACUGCGAGUGGAGAGGUGAAAUUCGUAGAGAUUCGCAAGAACACCAGUGGCGAAGGCGGCUGACUGGUCCGGUUCUGACGCUGAGGCGCGAAAGCGUGGGGAGCAAACAGG
rnacentral:rRNA from 1 species